rnacentral:lncRNA from 1 species
AAACAUGCAAGUAAUAAGAAAAUCUAUUAGUAAUAAAUAAAAAAAUUCUCGAGGGAGCUACUCUUAUUUGAAUAAUUUCGAUACACCGUUAGACCAAAUAACAUCUGUCAUAAAUCUAUUUUAAUGUGUUUAAAUUGAGUUUUUUCAACUAUGAAUCAGUGGCGAUUUUGGCAAUAAAACAGUCUGGCGAACUUGGUGGGUGAAAGAAACAUAUUAUAGCGCAACAUGUUACCACGGGUCUAAAUAAUACAAAGAAUGGCCCUAUAUCCACCAAACCCCAAGUCAUUAAAACCCAUAAAACCAACAAACUCAUACAGCCCAAUCGGCCCAUAAGGCUAGUAGGCCCACUAACGAACUAUUAUUAUUUUUAUAUUUGGAAAGAUUA